rnacentral:rRNA from 1 species
AAACGACUCUCGGCAACGGAUAUCUCGGCUCUCGCAUCGAUGAAGAACGUAGCGAAAUGCGAUACUUGGUGUGAAUUGCAGGAUCCUGUGAACCAUCGAGUCUUUGAACGCAAGUUGCGCCCGAAGCCAUUCGGCUGAGGGCAGUCUGCCUGGGCGUCAGC